rnacentral:misc_RNA from 1 species
UACAGAGGCCCCAAGCGUUAGGCGGAAUCACUGGGCUUAAAGCGUGUGCAGGCGGCCCGUCAAGUGCUUUGUGAAAGCCCACGGCUCAACCGUGGAAAUGCUUGGCAUACUGACGGGCUUGGAUCAUCCAGGGGCGAGUGGAACUCACGGUGGAGCGGUGAAAUGCAUAGAUAUCGUGAGGAACGCCAGAGGCGAAAGCGACUCGCUGGGGAUGUAUCGACGCUCAGACACGAAAGCUAGGGUAGCGAACGGG